rnacentral:rRNA from 1 species
ACGAUGACGGUGGUGCUUGCACCGCCUGAUUAGUGGCGAACGGGUGAGUAACACGUGAGUAACCUGCCCUCCACUUCGGGAUAACCUCGGGAAAUCGUGGCUAAUACCGGAUAUGAGCACUCAUCGCAUGGUGGGUGUUGGAAAGAUUUAUCGGUGGGGGAUGGACUCGCGGCCUAUCAGUUUGUUGGUGAGGUGAUGGCUCACCAAGACGAUGACGGGUAGCCGGCCUGAGAGGGCGACCGGCCACACUGGGACUGAGACACGGCCCAGACUCCUACGGGAGGCAGCAGUGGGGAAUAUUGCACAAUGGGCGAAAGCCUGAUGCAGCGACGCCGCGUGGGGGAUGACGGCCUUCGGGUUGUAAACCCCUUUCAGUAGGGAAGAAGCGAGAGUGACGGUACCUGCAGAAGAAGCGCCGGCUAACUACGUGCCAGCAGCCGCGGUAAUACGUAGGGCGCAAGCGUUGUCCGGAAUUAUUGGGCGUAAAGAGCUUGUAGGUGGCUUGUCGCGUCUGCCGUGAAAACCCGAGGCUCAACUCGGGCGUGCGGUGGGUACGGGCAGGCUAGAGUGUGGUAGGGGAGACUGGAACUCCUGGUGUAGCGGUGAAAUGCGCAGAUAUCAGGAAGAACACCGAUGGCGAAGGCAGGUCUCUGGGCCAUUACUGACACUGAGAAGCGAAAGCAUGGGUAGCGAACAGGAUUAGAUACCCUGGUAGUCCAUGCCGUAAACGUUGGGCACUAGGUGUGGGGGACAUUCCACGUUUUCCGCGCCGUAGCUAACGCAUUAAGUGCCCCGCCUGGGGAGUACGGCCGCAAGGCUAAAACUCAAAGGAAUUGACGGGGGCCCGCACAAGCGGCGGAGCAUGCUGAUUAAUUCGAUGCAACGCGAAGAAUCUUAC